rnacentral:rRNA from 1 species
GACGAACGCUGGCGGCGUGCUUAACACAUGCAAGUCGAGCGGUAAGGCCCUUUGGGGGUACACGAGCGGCGAACGGGUGAGUAACACGUGAGUAAUCUGCCUUUGGCUUGGGAAUAACUUCGGGAAAUCGGGGCUAAGUGCCUGAUGUUUACUGUCUGCUGCAUGGUGGGUGGUGGAAAGCCUUGUGCGGCUGGGAGAUGGGGCCC